rnacentral:rRNA from 1 species
UACGUAGGGUGCAAGCGUUAAUCGGAAUUACUGGGCGUAAAGCGUGCGCAGGCGGUUUUGUAAGUCAGAUGUGAAAUCCCCCGGGCUUAACCUGGGAACUGCGUUUGAAACUACAAGGCUAGAGUGUGGCAGAGGGGGGGUGGAAUUCCACGUGUAGCAGUGAAAUGCGUAGAGAUGUGGAGGAACACCGAUGGCGAAGGCAGCCCCCUGGGUUAACACUGACGCUCAGGCACGAAAGCGUGGGGAGCGAACAGG